AGUGAGAUUUCUGGGUCAUAUGGCAAGCAUAUGUUUAACUUUAUAAGAAAUUGUUAAACUGUUUUCUCAAAUGUCUAUAUAAUUUGUAUUCCCACUAAAAAU
rnacentral:pre_miRNA from 1 species